UAAGGUCAAGAGCUUGUGGAACGCUUUAGUCGAUGAUUAAUCGGUUCGAAGUACCAUGUUCUCGAUCAAGCAGAGUUGUCUGCAUUUUUACCGUUGUCUUCAACGGUCUCCCUCGCUGGACACGAGGAGUACAUCGUGAGGGGCGGGCGGAACCUCUUCCCACUGCUCCCUAAAGCGUUCAAGGGCGUCAAGCAGAUCGGAGUCAUCGGAUGGGGCACCCAGGGUCUAGUGCAGGCCCAGAACCUGAGAGAUUCUUUGGUUGAAGCCAAGUAUGACAUCGUCUUUAAGAUCGGUCUCAGGAAAGGUUCUAAGGGGUUGUUUGGUUCCUUUCCUGGACAUUGUGCCUGGUAAAAACGGC